GCGGAUGGCUGGGCGGCCGCGCGAAAGCGAGGAAAGUCCGGACUCUUUACAGCAAUGGCGGCGGGUAACACCCGCCUGGGGUAACCCAAGGGAAAGCGCCACAGAAAAUAAACCGCUCACUAAACGUGAGUAAGGGUGAAACGGUAGGGUAAGAGCCUACCGCAGUAUUGGUAACAAUAUUGGCAUGGCAAGCCCCGUCAGGAGCAAAACCAAGUAGGAACCGCGUGCCCUUAUGGGCGGGGUCGCUGAAGCCCCAGCAGGUUCGGGUGGUUGCUAGAGCAUUAUGGUAACAUAAUGCGCAGAUGAAUGGUCGCUCACGACAAAAUCCGGCUUAUAGGCCAUCCGCAUUG
rnacentral:RNase_P_RNA from 21 species